AUGGAGCAAAGAUUAGCAGAGAGGGGAGUAAAGUGGGAACAGGAAGAUAAAGCAGAAGAAAAGAGAGAAAAAAAAACCCCCCUCUUUUCCUUUCUCCGCCAUCGUGGUGUGUUCUUGCCUCAACUUCUUGCCGUGUCUUCUCACAAGACUUUCAGGAUUAAGCGAUUCCUGGCCAAGAAACAAAAGCAAAAUCGUCCCAUUCCCCAGUGGAUUCGGAUGAAAACUGGAAAUAAAAUAAGGUACAACUCCAAAAGGAGAUAUUGGAGAAGAACCAAGCUGGGUCUAUAAGGAAUUGCACAUGAGAUGGCACAUAUAUUUGU